CUCACAGGCUCAGCAGCAUGUGGAGCCUCUACCACCCAGGAAAAGACAAACCCCACUAUCCACCCCGGGCCUACCAUCCACCCCAGGCCAAGGCAAACGAGCCCCACCAUCCAUCCAACCUCAACUAAAGAAAAGACAAACCACAGGUAAAGGAGCCACACAAGCCCCACCCUCUACCCUGGCCAAAAAGAAGAAAAC